rnacentral:tRNA from 1 species
GCCUAGUUAGCUUAGUUGGUAGUGAUGCGUCUGCCUUGUAAGCGCUAGGCCGCGGGUUCGAUUCCCGCCCGGGGCG